AACGAACGCUGGCGGCAGGCUUAACACAUGCAAGUCGAACGCAUCGCAAGAUGAGUGGCAGACGGGUGAGUAACGCGUGGGAAUCUACCUGGAACUACGGAACAACUGAGGGAAACUUCAGCUAAUACCGUAUACGCCCUACGGGGGAAAGAUUUAUCGGUUUCAGAUGAGCCCGCGUAAGAUUAGCUAGUUGGUGGGGUAAUGGCCUACCAAGGCGACGAUCUUUAGCUGGUCUGAGAGGAUGAUCAGCCACACUGGGACUGAGACACGGCCCAGACUCCUACGGGAGGCAGCAGUGGGGAAUAUUGGACAAUGGGCGCAAGCCUGAUCCAGCCAUGCCGCGUGAGUGAUGAAGGCCUUAGGGUUGUAAAGCUCUUUCAGUGGGGAAGAUAAUGACGGUACCCACAGAAGAAGCCCCGGCUAACUUCGUGCCAGCAGCCGCAGUAAUAC
rnacentral:rRNA from 1 species